GGCGCACGGGUGAGUAACGCGUAUGCAACCUACCUUUUACUGGGGGAUAGCCCAAAGAAAUUUGGAUUAAUACCGCAUAACAUAUUUGAAUCGCAUGGUUUAAAUAUUAAAGCUUCGGUGGUAAAAGAUGGGCAUGCGUAGCAUUAGUUAGUUGGUAAGGUAACGGCUUACCAAGACUAUGAUGCUUAGGGGGUCUGAGAGGAUAGUCCCCCACACUGGUACUGAGACACGGACCAGACUCCUACGGGAGGCAGCAGUGAGGAAUAUUGGUCAAUGGGCGCAAGCCUGAACCAGCCAUGUCGCGUGCAGGAUGACGGCCCUAUGGGUUGUAAACUGCUUUUUUACAAGAAUAAACUUUGCUACGUGUAGCAAACUGAAGGUACUGUAAGAAUAAGGAUCGGCUAACUCCGUGCCAGCAGCCGCGGUAAUACGGAGGAUCCAAGCGUUAUCCGGAUUUAUUGGGUUUAAAGGGUCCGUAGGCGGGCUUUUAAGUCAGUGGUGAAAUCCCGGAGCUCAACUCCGGAACUGCCAUUGAUACUGAAAGUCUUGAAUUUAGUUGAGGUAGGCGGAAUACGUUAUGUAGCGGUGAAAUGCAUAGAUAUAACGUAGAACACCGAUUGCGAAGGCAGCUUACUAAGCUACAUUGACGCUGAUGGACGAAAGCGUGGGGAGCGAACAGGAUUAAAUACCCUGGUAGUCCCGCCGUAACGAUGAUUACUCGUUGUGCGCGAUGCCAGUGCGUGACUGAGCGAAAAGCAUUAAGUAAUCCACCUGGGGAGUACGUUC
rnacentral:rRNA from 1 species